rnacentral:tRNA from 1 species
GAGGGUAUAGCUCAGUGGUGGACCACAUACAUAGCAUGCACGAGGUCCUGGGUUCAAUUCCCAGUACCUCCA